UCUAAGCCUCACUUUACUCAUCUGUAAAAUACUCACAUUUUUACCCUCACCGAGUCGUGGUGAGAAUCAAAUGAAAUAGUAUAAAUGAAGUGCUUUGCAAACAAAGAACUAGAUACUUGUUCCUUAUGACCAUUAAUAUUUUACUCAGAUGUCUUCGUAAGCUAUAUAGGGGAUCCUAGUCUCCUGACAGGGACACCAUUUGGGUGGGGCCUUUGGCAGGUGCUACCCGACAAUUAUACAAGAUUUGCCUCUUUUUGUACUCCAGCAGGGAGAAAUAACAGGCAUUAUGACCUCACUAGCUCAUUUUUCUAUCAGGCUUUACUUUACAAAACUAGUGUCCUGCAGCUGCCCUAGGAAGCAGGGAGUGUGGAUGUUUUGACAGAUGAGAGAACUGAGAUCCAGAGUGGUUACAAAGAAUUAUGGAGCUGGAAGGGACCCUAGAGGUCUAUGCAGCCCAGUCUCAUUCUACUGAUAAAGGGCAGGAGGUUCUGAGUGGGGGGAGGUGACUUACUCAAGGUCCCCCAAAACCUUAGCAGCAAAAUUAUUCCUAAGGCUCUGCCCGAUGACUUUUAGUCCAUUGUGGUCCUCAUUACAGCCAUCUUAAGUAAGUCCUCCUUGGCAGCGGGCACUACAUGUCUGUAUGAUGGAGAAAUCUUAAAGGAAGAGAAAUGGAUUUUGGAAGUUGGGGGUACAUUCCAGGAAGGAGGGGACUAUGGAGAACAGAAUGAACCGAAGCCUGGAGGCAGGAACAGACAGUAUGUUCCUUCUAAAUGGAGAAUAACAGCGUAGGAAUGUGAUUCCUAUCAAGCCGCGGCCUCUCCCCCUCAGAGAGCUGGGUCUUCGGAAACAACAGUAACCCUCAGGGCUGGCAAAAGGACCCCAGGGCCAGCUAUUCUGAAAGCCACACCCUGAAAAUCACCUGACCCAGUCGAGGGGGCAACCAGACAGCAGGGAAACAGAGAGAGACCGGGGAGCUCGUAACCCCCUGGCUGGAUCCUUCCAUCAGAAUCUCAGUUCAACCCAGGGAAAGCUAAUCUUCUUAUCAGGAGCCCUGGCCCUGAGCUCAGGGAAGCCUCAGCCCCUCCUCCUCAGAGAGCAGGGUCUUCGGGAACAACAGUAACCCUCAGGGCUGGCAAAAUGACCCCAGGGCCGGCUAUUCAGAAGGCCACUUCCUGAAAACAACCUGACCCAGUCGAGGGGGCACCCAGACAGCAGGGAAACAGAGAGACGGGGGGGGAGCUUAUAACCCCCUGGCUGGAUCCCUCCAUUACAGUCUCAGGUCCCUGCCUCAGGGCACAUUCAAUUCAACCCAGGGACACACCAGCAAUUCCUGGCUUCCCCAGGAAGACAGAACAACAACUUCAUAGAAAGGACAAUCUGCCUGGGGCUAAAACCUCUGAACACCAGACAGAGAUAAGAAAAUCUAAUCCUCCACACUCAGAUAGAGAUGGCAAACUACACUGACACACAAAAGCCCCCAAAUUCCAAAAGAAACGAGAAGAAGGGGGCAAUUUUGGACACAUUUUAUGGAGCAAAAAUACAAAACACAGAGGAGAUAGAAGAGGAAACACAAGCAAAUGCUCCGAAACCUUCCAAAGGAAAUGGAAACUCUCCACAAACCCAUGAAGAAUUUGAAUCAGAAAUGAUCAAAAAGAUGGAAGCCUUCUGGGAGGAAAAGUGGGAAAUAAUGCAAAAGAAAUUCAUGCAUCUACAAAACCAGUUUGACCAAACUGAAAAAGAAAACCAGGCCUUAAAACAAGAACUAAUAAAGCAAAACCAAAAGGCCAAGAAAUUAUAAGAGAACAUAAAAUAUCUCACUGACAAGGUGACAGAUUUGGAAAAUAGAGGGAGAAGAGAUAAUUUAAGAAUAAUUGGACUUCCAGAAAAGCCAGAAAUAAACAGCAAACUCGACAUUGUAAUACAAGAUAUGAUCAAAGAAAAUUGCCCAGAGAUUCUAGAACAAGGGGGCAAUACAGCCACUGACAGAGCUCGCAGCACACCCUCUACACUAAACCCCCAAAAGACAACUCCCAGGAAUGUAAUUGCCAAAUUCCAAAGCUCUCAAACAAAAGAAAAAAUUCUACAAGAAGCCAGAAAAAGACAAUUUAGAUAUAAAGGAAUGCCAAUCAGGGUCACACAAGACCUUGCAAGUUCUACUCUGAAUGAUCGUAAGGCAUGGAACAUGAUUUUCAGAAAGGCAAGAGAGCUGGGUCUUCAACCAAGAAUCAGCUACCCAUCAAAACUGACUAUAUACUUCCAAGGGAAAGUAUGGGCAUUCAAUAAAAUAGAAGACUUCCAAGUUUUUGCAAAGAAAAGACCAGAGUUCUGUGGAAAGUUCGAUAUCAAAAAUCAAAGAGCAUGGAAUACCUGAAAAGGUAAAUAUGAAGGAAAGGGAAAAGGAGAAAAAUGUUAUCAUUUUCUUUUAUUCAAACUCUCUUUUAUAAGGACUAUAUUUAUAUCAAUCUAUGUAUACUAACAUGUGGGGGAAAUGUAAUGUGUAAAUAGGGGGAAAAGAAAGACCAAAUAGAAUAAUCUUUCUCACACAAAGAUUCACAUGGGAAGGGAAGGGGAAGAAAACUCCUAUAAGGAGAGGAAGAGAGUUUUUACUUAAACCUUACUCUCAGGGAAAUCAACUCUGAGAGGGAAGAACAUCCAGAUCCAUUGGGAUCUUGAAUUCUAUCUUACCCAACAAGGGUAGGGAGAAGGGAAAACC